rnacentral:rRNA from 1 species
UACGUAGGGGCCGAGCGUUGUCCGGAGUUACUGGGCGUAAAGCGCGCGCAGGCGGUCUUCUAAGCCCGGCGUGAAAGCCCCCGGCUCAACCGGGGAGAGUCGUCGGGGACUGGGAGACUUGAGGGCGGCAGGGGCUGGUGGAAUCCCCGGUGUAGUGGUGAAAUGCGUAGAGAUCGGGGGGAACACCCGUGGCGAAGGCGGCCAGCUGGGCCGGUCCUGACGCUGAGGCGCGAAGGCGUGGGGAGCGAACGGG